GACAGGACCUGGGGGGGGGGGACCUGGAGCUCCCCUCGGGCUGUGGAAAGCCCUUGCGCUGGGCCAGCGUCCCUCUUCUCACUGGCUUGUGGCUCUGGAAGCCAUGUCACCACACCAAGCCCGCUUUCUCAUCUGCAAAGUGGGAACAGCACUUAUGCCCUCCCUGGCCAUACUGUGAUCGAAGGAGCUAGGGGGCUCUGGUUUCUAGCACAGAGCCUGGUGGACCUGUGGCUGACCCAAGGGCCUGGCUGGUCCGUGUCUCUGUCUGAGGUACACGUCUGUAGUCCAAGCUCCAGAGCUGAAUGGCCACAACCUGAGUGCACAGCGAGUCUCCUUCAGCUUUGCUGGGUGUGGGUGCCCAAGGGAUGCAGGGGCCAGGGGGCUAGGGUUGGGGUUCAGGGUGCGUGCCUAGAGGUGACUGAUACACAAGGCACUCUCCCCUGGGCACCAGGGAGCUGGUGUCCUGGCUCCCACCCCCACUGCCAACAGCCUUGGGACCCACCACUUGGCAGAGCCGGCUUGGUGAGGCUGCGCCCCGUUGGCUGCUCCUCCAGCCUCUGCUGGGCUCAGAUAGCGGGCUCACUGCACGAUGUGAUCACCGCGGGCGUGGUGAGGCUGCCGGGCCAUGGGCUGGCACCACCGAUGCAGACGCACGGGGUGACUGACGUCAGGACUCAUUUUCUCCAUGACUGGGGACAGGCCUGCAGUGCUGAGCUGUGCAUGUCAAUGAGGUGGCGCUCCGGCUUCCAACGCCAGGGACUCCAUCUUCUGUCCUGCCAGCCUCUUGUGCUGGGGGGCUGGACCACCACCCCAGGCCCCCCGAGCCCCCUCUCAGGCCCAAGCUACAAGCACAGAGGCCAGAGGUCCUCCAGCACUUGCAAUGUGGGUCCUUCCCAUGCAGGCAGCCCCUGUGCCCGUGCCCCCAACCUGGUGUGCAAGAACCUCAGCCCUGGGUGCCCCGGUAUGUACACGCUGCCAGUCCCGACAGUACCAAAUGUAGGAGCUCGUGACUGUGGACACACCGGCCUCUCCUGCAGGGGCCUGCGAUUUUGGGAGACCCCCACUCCCACGAAAGGCCCAGCCAGCCCUUGA
rnacentral:lncRNA from 1 species